rnacentral:rRNA from 1 species
CCUACGGGAGGCAGCAGUGGGGAAUAUUGGGCAAUGGGCGUAAGCCUGACCCAGCAACGCCGCGUGAAGGAAGAAGGCUUUCGGGUUGUAAACUUCUUUUAAGAGGGAGAGCAGAAGACGGUACCUCUUGAAUAAGCCCCGGCUAACUACGUGCCAGCAGCCGCGGUAAUACGUAGGGGGCAAGCGUUGUCCGGAUUUACUGGGUGUAAAGGGCGUGUAGCCGGGGUGACAAGGUAGAUGUGAAAUCCCGUGGCUCAACCACGGAACUGCAUUUGAAACUGUCGGUCUUGAGUAUCGGAGAGGCAGGCGGAAUUCCUAGUGUAGCGGUGAAAUGCGUAGAUAUUAGGAGGAACACCAGUGGCGAAGGCGGCCUGCUGGACGACAACUGACGGUGAGGCGCGAAAGCGUGGGGAGCAAACAGGAUUAGAUACCCUUGUAGUC